CGACUGGCGGCGUGCAUAACACAUGCAAGUCGAACGAUGAACUUAAUUGAUCUCUUCGGAGUGAAAUUAAGUGGAUUAGUGGCGGACGGGUGAGUAACGCGUGAGUAACCUGCCUUAGAGAAGGGGAUAGCCUUUGGAAACAGGUGCUAAUACCGGAUAAUAAAGCAGAUCGCAUGAUCAGCUUUUGAAAGGCGGCGUAAGCUGUCGCUAAGGGAUGGCCCCGCGGUGCAUUAGCUAGUUGGUAAGGUAACGGCUUACCAAGGCGACGAUGCAUAGCCGAGUUGAGAGACUGAUCGGCCACACUGGGACUGAGACACGGCCCAGACUCCUACGGGAGGCAGCAGUAGGGAAUCUUCCACAAUGGGUGAAAACCUGAUGGAGCAAUGCCGCGUGAAUGAAGAAGGUCUUCGGAUCGUAAAGUUCUGUUAUUAGAGAAGAACAAGUCAAGGAGUAACUGUCUUGACUUUGACGGUACCUAACCAGAAAGUCACGGCUAACUACGUG
rnacentral:rRNA from 1 species